GUACUCACAGCCGCGAACUUUUUACCACUAGGUCAAUACCACUUGGUUUGGUUAUGCAUGCACAUUUGUUAUGCUUAGUUGUGUUGUAAAUUCGGAUGAGUUAACGCAAUGAUUUUUGUAAAGAAAAUUGAAAUUGAGAUAAAUACCACUUUCCACUAGUGUAGGUAUAUUUACUAGAGUUUUGUAGAAAUAUAUAUAAUCUCUUAAAACUGAGAUUUUAUAUUAUAGUUAUGUAAACAUGAGAUUUCAUUUUUCUUAUUUACACCGUAAUAUCGGUCGAGAAUGUUUCAUUACGAAUUCUAGUGUUUUUUUUGAAAUCCACAAAAUAGUUUAGCCACUCGACAACAAGUUGCUAUGCAAAUUUAAUACUAAAAGUCCAAAAGAAGUUGUUUGGUUUUCAGAUAUUUUGUUUCUUUAUCAAUCUGCCACUAUAAAUAUAUAUUUUUAGCCAAAAAUAUUUUUUCUAAGAACAUUUAUUUUCCAUUAAAAUAGUAUUUUUUAUAUAUUAUUUAUGUUUUAGUUGCUAGUUAUUGUGUGCUGUAAGUUUUGUUUUUGGUAAAAAUAUCCUCAUGUUUCAGAGUAUAUUAGCAUAUGAUCAUUGUCAAUUGUUUUGUAAAGAAAAAAUGUUAUAUUAAUUACAGCCAAAAAGUUAACUUUAGGAUUUUUAUAUUCUAUUGUUGUGAAGUAUUUUACUACACUAAUUGAACUACAAACAUUUGAUCACUUAUCAACAAAUUAUUGUAGAAAAUACAACAAUUUAUUGUAUAAAAUGACAAAUUUAGGAAAUAAUAAUGAGGGAUAACUAGCCGACAAUAAAUUAGAACAUAACUAAAAAAACCCCAAUUCUCUCUAAGCGCCGUCAAGAGUUUGGUUUUGCGAUUGUGGUCUCUCCGGUGGCUGGCUAUCAACGCCGGUGCCGGAGGGGGCCCGCCUUCUUCUUCCUUGCUUUGUAUGUUCUUUGUCUGUGUGAAUCGUUGUUACCGAAACUUGAAUCUUCUUCGUAGGCGAGCUAUGGUGGUCAUUUGUUCCGGUCACGUUGUGCAGAUCUGGAUGAGGAAUUCCCCUUUCUUCUGAGAUCGAGGAUAGAUCUGUGUGAUUCGUGUUGUUGUUUCGCGGCUCCUUCUUCCGUCAUCUCCCUUCCGGCGGAGGACUACAAGUUGGCAGGAGGAUCUUCGAGGGAUUGGAUUUUGUGUGAAGGAGCAGGAGUGGCCGUGUGUUUGUGCACGGUUUUAAGUUUUGGUUUUCUUCGGAGAGUUGGGUUCAGUGAUACGUCUGGCGCCAGAUUGGAGAUCGAGGAUCUUUUGACGGUGCAGUGCAGCCGCUGGGAGCGGUGCAGGUGCUUUCGCUGACGGUGUUACUGUGCUUUCGCUGACGGUGUUACUGUGCUUUCUUCAACUCUAGUUCCUUUCCUGCCUGCAAUACAUGAAUGGUGGUUGGGCUCGUCUCUGAGAGGCUUUUUGUGUCUCGUCGCUCCAAUAUCCGCAACGGGUGAAGGCGUUCAUUGGGAUAUUCAGUUAUGGUUGUUUCCUUCGGUUCGAGGAGUUUGCUUGUGUUGCAAAGGUCCUUAUAGGGAAGGGUUUAUUCUGGAGCUUCCUUCUUUCAGGUGCUAUGGUCCUGUUCCGGCUCUCUUAUGAUGUUUAAAACUCUUUCAAAUCUAUCGAGAUUACUCUUGGUCAUUUAAGUUUCGUUGUUAGUUUGGAUUAGUAAAGCUGUCUUGUUUGGACUUUAGCUUCCGGGGAUAUAUUCAUGUUCCGCCGGCUUUGUUUUCCGGGGAUAUAUCGUUGUUUCUCCGGCUCUGUUUCUCUGUUUGGGCUCUUGUAAAACUUUGAAUGCAUUAAUAAUAUACCUUAAGAAGUUAGU